CGGCCCCGCGCAAGGUGGGCUUCGGCGCGCUGUAGGCGACGACCGGCAGACGUGGAAGGGCCCGGCGGUUCGACACCGCCGGGCCCUUC
rnacentral:tRNA from 1 species